rnacentral:lncRNA from 1 species
GUUAAGGAGCUCCGAUUCGCUUUUAUAUGUUAGUUUUAUCUUUAUAUAAGAUUUAUAAUUAUUCCAUCGUAGUAUUAAAAAAUGUUCAACGAAUCAUUAGAUGACAGCACUGACACGUAAAAACAAAUCAAGAACUCCAGCACUGACACCACUGACACGUAAAAGUAAAUUAAGAACUCCCUAAAGAUCAAGUACACAUAAAAUAAACACAAAAUAUCUACUCUAUCUACUUUUUUUUUAGAGAUAGAUAGCACGCUAGCCGUUUCGUUUAUUUCAUUUAGAAAUAAAUUUAGCUGAAAAUGUGAAUCAAUUAGCAUUUGAACUUGGAUAUCGAGUACCAACUAUCAAAUCUUUUGCUACUUGCUCUAGGGACGGUCGGUAUAUCUACUCUAUCUACUAAGAUCGAUUUACUCGCAUAA